AUUCAGAGAAAAUUUGAAUGUACGUAUGAAGAAUGGCUACCUACCGCGUCUUUAUUCGCAUUUAAAGAAUUAAAAUCUGUAAUGAAAAUUGAAAUUUUUAUCAUUUCAUUAGUCUUAUAAUGGUGUAAUAAUGAAGUAGAGAUCAUGAUCAAACAUGGUGUUUGUUUCAAGUGUAGUUAUAGUAGGAUAAUUUGAAUAUUCUGGUACAAUAACCUACCGGUACAUGGUACGUUUUCCAAGUAGUACAUAAAUGACAAUGAAUAGUGAAAUUGGAGUGUGAGGUGGACCAGACAACAUUAGAGUAGUGAAUAGUGAGAUGAAACGGUGACAUAGAUUAGGAUAUUAGCAAAUAGCUGAGAAUGGCAUGGCUGAACUCGUGCAUUAGCAGUCAGGGCGAGAGGAUCCAGCCCUCUGUCAGCUCACCCCUUCAUCUGCUGCUCAAGAGUUAUGCUUUACUCAGUGUUGAUGUCCUUGACAUUGCAUUUGCAUAAGAAAUCCGAAGCGGCGUGGGCGGAGUAUAAUUGUGUAAUCAUGCGCAGGAAGCCAACGAUCAAUUGAGAAGUACCUGAAUCCGCAUUAUCUAUAAAUAGUAUUCUGUUUCGACUCCAACCAUACAUCAACGGACAAGAUUUACAAUGCGACUCAAGCGGUCAUCAAACAAUGAGAAUUAUGUGCACUUCCUUCAGUUGAAUCAUGGAAUAAAUUAGAAUCAGAAAUUCAAAUAAAAACCUGAUUCAUCUUAUAUGGUUAGGUAUUUGUAUCACGAAUACGCAGGUAGGGAGGUACAAUACUAUAAUCUUGUUUGUGAUGAAUUUCAAAUUUCAAUGCAUUUGGUUGAGACAUAGGCUACUCUUGGAGAUAACGAUUUUCCAAGUAUUUUC